rnacentral:lncRNA from 7 species
GGAAGGUUCUCUUUCUGGAGAUCAGCUUUGUGGAGCUUUUCAUUGUGAGCCUAAAUCUUUGGAUACAGUGGUGUUUUUAAACAACGGCAACAAAAAGAAAUGGGAAGGGGAAGCAUUAGGAGUUCUGGGCAAAUUGUAUGGCUUUCUGUGUGUGUGGGAACGAUUCGGAAAUUUUAAUCUCUACUACCAGUUUGUUGCUGCUCUGGGAGGAAGAAACAACAACAAGAAAGUGCCUAAUUCCCCCAGAUCCUCACGGAAGAGCUGUGUGCUGCUAUAGGAGCAGGACUGGGAAGUGACGUCUCUUCAUGGGCUGGAAGCUAUGCAAGAGAGGCGGCCAGAACACAGUUGUUUCCCCCAGUGAUGGAAAUCCUGUCCAGAAAUCCAUCCAAAGGCAUCUUCUCUUCACCACAGACCUGUAACCUGGAGGCCACAUUGGUCACUGGCAGAUGUGGGGAUGAAGGCUGUUUUAGGAGGUGUGUUGAGGUUUGUGCUGGCCACAUCACUCAGUUCAUAUUUAAUUGAGACCCUCGUGUUUUCUUCCACUUAGUUAUUUAAUUGGUGUGUAAAUAGCAAUUCUAAAGUAGCCAUAAAUAUUAACAGCAGCUCUUCUUUGAAAUAACUAUCUCCCAUUCAGCCCUUUCUUCUUUAAUAAUGGCCAUCAGUCUUCUAAGAGGUAAAAAGGACAGACUGCCCGUGAACAGAUCCAGACACUAAAUGCUUCUUGCUUUGGUACUCUCCUCACCACACUACGCACUCCUCUUGUAAGCUUAGCUUGCUCUCUCCUUAGUUUUCUCACUUCACUUUACUGUUUUUAUUCUUCUCCCUUCGCUUUCUUGUCACUUUUAGAAAAGCUGGUUCCCCCUUUUCUGUGUAGGUGAGACUAGCUUCAGUAAGAGAGUGUGUGGGUAAAACCACCUUCUGAAUGCACACACACACCUGUGGUGCAUUUAGAUGUGAGUGGAAGGAAGAUAAUUAUAAUUGGAGUUUUAUAGCUUCAGCUGGCUUCACCCUCAUCACUUCUCACCACAGGUAGGUGAGGCAGUAGGUGUUGUUGGGUACUGCUACUGUCCCUCCCUGUCCUUCUUCCUUGUCUCCAGACAAGCCACCUGUAACAUGUUUUUCAGUUCCACGCUCUUCCCACUAGCUUCCAUGCACUGCUAGUGGGUUUAUUACUGUGUGUCCUUCCUGUGGCAGGGAGGAGUGGGAGCCCUGGGGGGCUUUGCAUCACUGGUGGAGGGUAUUCACACCACAAUGCAGCACCCUGGUUUUGUUUGCUGUGGCCGUGCCUUGGGGAUGUGGGUCCUUUCCCUGGGAAGCAGCCAGUGGGACACUGCAGCCCUGGGAACAUGGUGGGACUGGAACUGGAUCUGAUGAUAUUUCUCCUCCUUUGUUUUCACUCAAGUGUGGAACUGGGUCUGCUGCAGAUCUGUGUGCUUUGUGUCAUUUGCUUUGGGGGGGAUCUUUGCUGGGGAUCUGGCCCUUUUUCACUUUAUGACAAACAAGCAGUGCAACAUUCCUGAAGGAUGACUGAAAUGAUGAGGCAAUUAAUUAUAAAGCUGACUUAACUGUGUGCUCAGGUUUAAACAAGUUUACAUCACUAACAUUCCCUGGGUAAUUGUUUUUCAAGGAGCGAGUUUUCUGCAGUGAUGGAAAACAAGGGAAAGGGGCAGGGGAAGCUGGAAGCGUGGUCACCUCUACAGGGAAACCUCAUGGCUUGGGGUUUUAUGCUGGUGGUUGCACCAUGAACUUGGAGAUAGUUCUCAGAAGGAUGGGACCAACAGGGUUUGAAAGCCAGGGUGACUCCCUUAGACAUCCCAGUAGACCCAUUAUCAAACAGGUAACUGAGAGUAGAUGCAAAGGUGCUCUAGGAAAUUAGUUUCUCAUCAACGGUAUCUAGUGUGAAAGACCAGGUGGUUCUCUAGAGCUCUGUGGAGUCAAAGACCUUGCUACUACCUAUCAUGGCUGGAGGCAUGUAAACAAACAGACACGUUCAGGUGUUCCUUGCCUGUGGCAGCCACACCUUCCAAUAUUGCUGAAUUUUUGUAAAAUUCAGGCUGAAAUGGAUGUGUGGAAGAGUCAGUUAAUAGUGAUCUCUUAAAAAAAGGAGCAGGAGCAAAAUGUAUGUGAUGCAUAAAAGGCACUGGAAAGCACAGGAUGCAUGGGAAAGGACACCUUUUGAAUUAUUUAUGUAAUUGUAUGUCUUUGUAACCAGUACCUUCUACUGCUGCUGUCCUUUGGACUUUAUUACCCCUGUUGGAAGCUGGUUUCUGUGGAGCCAUUACAUCAGUGAGUAAGUCCUAAUCAGGCCGCAAAAGAUGAUUACUUCACAGAGAGCUGUGUGUCUGUGUCUGAGCAGAGUCAGCCACCUGCAACAAAAAGGAAAAAAAAAAUUACUUUGUGCUGAUGUCUGCCCUUAGAGGUUUGAAGACAAGGUGGAAUAAAGAGAGUUGUUCAGGUAUUCAACUGCAGCAAAGAGCAAGUUAGGUCCAUGUCACUCAUUAAGGUUAGAAUGCAUUGUAAUUCUGAUUUCUGGCUCUGUUUUCAUUUAUACCCUAUCUGUAGAUGUAUCUAAUAAACACUAGUGGAAGCUAAUUUACUUUCUAAAAC